CAGCCGCCGCGGGAAUACGGAGGGUGCAAGCGUUAAUCGGAAUUACUGGGCGUAAAGCGCACGCAGGCGGUCUGUCAAGUCGGAUGUGAAAUCCCCGGGCUCAACCUGGGAACUGCAUUCGAAACUGGCAGGCUAGAGUCUUGUAGAGGGGGGUAGAAUUCCAGGUGUAGCGGUGAAAUGCGUAGAGAUCUGGAGGAAUACCGGUGGCGAAGGCGGCCCCCUGGACAAAGACUGACGCUCAGGUGCGAAAGCGUGGGGAUCAAACAGGAUUAGAUACCCCUGUAGUCCCUGUCUCUUAUAU
rnacentral:rRNA from 1 species